CUCUUAGAGCGUGUCAGAAGCUUAAUCCCUAAUGGGGGUUAGGACAGAACACUUUAAAAGGAUGCACACUCCUUAGAUGAAAAUCUAAAAAACUAAACAGGCGGCAUAGCUGAGUAGCAAUAGCGAAAACUUAUGCCGCUU
rnacentral:ncRNA from 20 species